rnacentral:rRNA from 1 species
GACGAACGCUGGCGGCGCGCCUAACACAUGCAAGUCGAACGGAGCUGAGAGGAGCUUGCUUUUCUUAGCUUAGUGGCGAACGGGUGAGUAACGCGUGAGUAACCUGCCCUGGAGUGGGGGACAACAGUUGGAAACGACUGCUAAUACCGCAUAAGCCCACGAUCCGGCAUCGGAUUGAGGGAAAAGGAUUUAUUCGCUUCAGGAUGGACUCGCGUCCAAUUAGCUAGUUGGUGAGGUAACGGCCCACCAAGGCGACGAUUGGUAGCCGGACUGAGAGGUUGAACGGCCACAUUGGGACUGAGACACGGCCCAGACUCCUACGGGAGGCAGCAGUGGGGGAUAUUGCACAAUGGGGGAAACCCUGAUGCAGCGACGCCGCGUGGAGGAAGAAGGUUUUCGGAUUGUAAACUCCUGUCGUUAGGGACGAUAAUGACGGUACCUAACAAGAAAGCACCGGCUAACUACGUGC